rnacentral:rRNA from 1 species
UACAGAGGGUGCAAGCGUUGUUCGGAAUUAUUGGGCGUAAAGCGCGUGUAGGCGGCUCGGUAAGUCUGCUGUGAAAGUCCAGGGCUCAACCCUGGAACGCCGGUGGAUACUGUCGAGCUCGAGUCCGGAAGAGGCGAGUGGAAUUCCUGGUGUAGCGGUGAAAUGCGCAGAUAUCAGGAGGAACACCAAUGGCGAAGGCAGCUCGCUGGGACGGUACUGACGCUGAGACGCGAAAGCGUGGGGAGCAAACAGG